AGCGAACGCUGGCGGCGUGCUUAACACAUGCAAGUCGAGGGAGAACGGAGGGCUUCGGCCUUCUUAGUAAACCGGCGCACGGGUGAGUAACACGUAGGUAACCUACCUCCGAGUUCGGGAUAACCUGUCGAAAGAUAGGCUAAUACCGGAUAAGACCACGAUGGUUUCGGCCACUGCGGUCAAAGAUGGCCUCUAUUUAUACGCUAUCGCUUGGGGAUGGGCCUGCGCACCAUUAGCUAGUUGGUGAGGUAAUGGCUCACCAAGGCUACGAUGGUUAGUUGGUCUGAGAGGAUGACCAGCCACACUGGGACUGAGACACGGCCCAGACUCCUACGGGAGGCAGCAGUGGGGAAUAUUGCGCAAUGGGGGAAACCCUGACGCAGCGACGCCGCGUGGGUGAUGAAGGCCUUCGGGUCGUAAAGCCCUGUCGGAGGGGAAGAAGGACUCUCGUGCAAAUAGUGCGAGGGUUUGACGGGUACCCUUAGAGGAAGCACCGGCUAACUCCGUGCCAGCAGCCGC
rnacentral:rRNA from 1 species